GCCUCGCGCAGGUCCCCGCAGACCCCGGAAGCGCCCAGCGCGAGGCGGCAGAGGCCCCGAGGAGCGUGAGUCCCGCCGCUUUCCGUCCCCCACACCGGGUCCGGGGUCUCUUCGGACUGUUCCCCGCCCACUACCGUGGUAACUCCGACGUCGUUGCGGGCGCCCGCGCGUACCCCUCGCGGUUCACAGUUCCCGUGAGGCCGAGCCCCGCCCCUGGCCUCGCUUCCACGCGCCUUUUCUGUCGUUUUCCUGCCUGAAUCCCUUCCCUGGCGUCUCAGGCCUUCCGCACCUGGUGACCCUCCACCACGGGCUGUGCGGCCCCCGAAGCGCAGCGCCGGCCGCCCAGCUCCAGGAGGAGGUCCACCGCGCCCACCGGUCCACUGCUGGCCGCCCGCCGCCCCUAACCGCCUCCCCGCGGCCUCGUGCCGGGCCCUCUGCCCCCCAGGCCGCCCUUGCGAGGCGCCUCCUCCUCGGACCGCGGUGCGGGAGGUGAGACGGGACGCCUGGGGCGCCCGGGCUCGAGCCCCGCAUUCCGCCGACGGGUGAACGUGCUCUCCCGGGAGGCCGCGCCCGGUGCCGCCGCGCCCAUGGGCUCGCGGGCGACGGCGCUGGGGAGAGGUCGGGCCGGAGCGGCGGGGACAGAAGCGGGACGAGUGCGGAGGCCGGGAGGCUGCGGGAGAGCAGGCGCGCGGAGAGGACGGGCGAGCCCGGGAAGGAGCAGGCGGCGGAGCCGGGAGGCUUAGAAGCCAGCGGGGCCUCCGGGUGGAGGAUUGGCUUCUAAGAAAGACUCACGUUCCCUGAGGCCAGAGUCCGGAAAAAGAGGAGGAGGACGGCAGAGAAGGAGCCGGGAAUGGCUGUUCCUCAGGAUGGUUGACCUUAAGGGAUGUGGCCGUCAGAUCUCCCAGGAGGAGUGGGAAUGCCUGGAUCCUGCUCAGCGGGCCUCGUACCGGGACGUGAUGCUGGAGAACUACAGGAACCUGGUGUCCCUGGCUCCUUUAUGGAAUAACUUUGUAACCAGGGCAGGAGACAGACCUCCAAAGUGUAAAUAAACCUACGUGGACAAAGAAUGCUGAAGUCUGAACCAACGCAGUCACCUAAAUAACCCUAUUCUUAAGACAAAACUUCGAGGGAAUUAUGACUCACCUGUGUACAUGAUGCCUUAUGCAGACCCUUACCCAAAAGGCCCUAUAAAACCCCAGACCCUAAACCCUUAAGUGCACCUCCUCUCUGAGGUUGACCAUACUCCCCUUUCUUUGAGUGUGUUGCUCUCCCUGUUCUACUCCAGAUGAGUAGGGAGGGGCUGCUGAGCUCUGAUCCAGGUGGGCUUGCAAGUUCCUGCUGCCUGGGUGACCCAGACAGGACUGCAGCUUUAUGAUUAUGCUCUUUAGUAGCCUGCCUGAAAAAUGUCCUUUCUUUGCCUUUGGGAAGUUCUCAGAGCAUCAUGUCACUCCAUCCAGUGCUCUGAGGCUCCCCCAAAUCCUGGGGUGGUAGGGCUUAGUCCCCACGCUGUGCAGAUCCAAGCAGACAGUGGACGUCAGGCCACCCUGGCUUUAGGAGUUGGCAGGGGAUCUGCCCUAUGCGGAGCAGCAGUUCAAGAGCUUCCCUUUCCUUCGUCUAUUUUUCCUUCCUCUCUGCUUUAUUCAGGCACACCUGCCUUUAUCUAUCUUGACUCUAGCCCACUUCCCCCGGAGUGUACGCAAAUAUACCUGCCUUUGUCUGCCUUAACUCUGGCCUGACCCCCCCCCCCCCCGCCCUUGAAGUGCUUUCAAAUAAAACUUUCAUUCUGCUUCACUCCUGUGUCUCCGCCCUUCAGGUCUUUGUUGCGGUGGGACAAGAACCGAGGGGAAUGAGCUCAACCCACAAAAUAAUUAAAAACAAUUUUUUAGUUGAUUUGAAUAUGCAACCAAGCUUGAAAAUCACAGUACUAUACCCUUAUCUCUUAAGGGGUUGUCUGGUAAUUGUCUGGCCUGGAACAACUGGGGAUUUUGUAAAGGAUGCUAUUUGCUGCAGAGUGUCCUUGGCUGGGUGAAGGAGCCAUAGAGUCAGUUCUUAACUUCCUCCUCCAUCUGUCACCCCCCGCCCACCCUCCCACGUCCUGUUGCGCCCAAUUCUGACUCAGACUGAAGUGUGGGAACCAUUGCACCCAACCAGGGGUUGGCAGGUGUUUUCUGUCAAGGCCCCAGUAGUGAACAUUUCAGCCUCUGAGCAAUCUGGUCUCUGUGGCAACUCUUGCCAUCAUGACAUGAACUAUUUCACAGGUAAUUUUGUAAAUGAACAUGCAUGGCCAUGUUCCAGUGAACCUUUACUUAUGGAUACUGAAAUUUGAGUUUUCUGUAACUUCCAUGUGUCAGAAAAUACUAUUUUCUUUCAUGCGCUUUCAUCCUGUUUGGGGUCCUCCGGGCUUCGUGGGCAUGUCUGUCCCCUUGAUUGUGGAGAGGGGUUUGCCUGCGUUCAGACUCACCAAAUUGUUCACAUUCACCGUGUACGGUUCUUUGUAAAUCAAUUAUCCCCCAAUAAAGCUGUUAAAAGUAUGA